UCUCCCAGCCAGUGUCCAUAGUGUCUCACUGUCCCCAUGUCUCCCAGUGGCCCCAUAGUCACUCAGUAUCUGUGUUCCCAUGUCUCUCAGUGUCCCUAGUGUCUUAGUGUUCCCAAAUGUCUCCGUCUCCCCAUGUCUCCCAGUGUCUGUGUCCCCAUAUCUCUGUGACCCUAGUGUCUCAGUGUCCCCAUUUUUCUCAGUGUCCACAUAUCUCCCAGUGUCUCCAUGUCUCGCACUGUCUCCAUGUCUCCCAGUGUCCCCAUGUCUGUAUCCACAAGUGCCACCAUGUCUCCCAGUGUCCCCAAGUGUCUAAGUGCCCCCAUGUCUCCCAGUGUCCCCAAGUGUCUCAGUGUCCCCAAGUGUCUCAGUGUCCCCAGGUCUCUCAGUGUCCCCAUGUCUCACUGUGUCCCCAUGUCUCACUGUGUUCCCUAGUAUCCAAGUGACAUGGGGACACACUGAGACAUGGGGACACCGGGAGAAAUGGAGACACUGGGAGACUAGGGGACUGGGCGACAUGGGACACUGACACUGUGAUACAUAUGGUCACUGAGACACUGGGUGACUUGUGAAACUGAGACACUUUCUAGAAACUUGGACCAAUCCAUAUAUACAGCAGAAUCAAAUAGUAAGUAGUUUGUUGGUGAUUUUACAGAAUUUUCUCCUAUGUCACUCCUUGUGAUUUACAUCAUGUGAUGUCACGCAUACAUAAUUAACUAUACAAAUGAUUAAAGCCAGCAUUUUUUUUCAAGAAAGGUGGCAACAAUAACUUCUCUUGACAUACUCUUGUUUAAAUGAACACUAUAGGGUCAGGAACACAGUCAUGUAUUUCUGACCCUCUUAUGUUAAAACCACCAUCUAGCCCCCCUAAUUCCCUCUUGCCUCCCUAAAUAUAGUAAAAUAUUACUUGAAUUCAAGUCUGCAGCUGCCGGCUCUGCCCCUGACUGUCUCUGGCAGAUAAGGGGCAGAGCCAGCACAACUCAAACAUAGCCCUGGCCAAUCAGCAUCUCCUCAUAGAGAUUAACUGAAUCAAUGCAUCUCUAUGAGGAAAGUUCAGUGUCUGUAUGCAGAGGGUGGAGACACUGAAUGGCAGUGCUGCACACUAGGUAGUACUGCCCCAGGAAGCACCUUUAACAUCCACAGGAGUGGCGAGUGGAGUUAUCCUUAGGCUGUAAUGUAAACUGUGCAUUUUCUCUGAAAAUACAGUGUUUACUGCAAAAAGCCUGAAUGGAAUGAUUCUACUCACCAGAACAAAUAAAAUAAGCUGUAGUUGUUCUGGUGACUAUAGUGUAACUUUAUGUAUGGAAGCUUAAGAAUAAUGUAUGAGAACAACACUUGUGUGGGCUGGCUGACAAUAAAAUUAGUUAAGGUAAUGCAGAAUUUAGUCUCUCUAACACCGUGGCAUGUCCCCUUUCUUCUACACUCACUACAUACACGUUUUCUCUGACCCCGACUAUAUACCAGGAGCUUCCAUCUGCUAGUAAGAUGGUAAGGAGUGUUAGGGGGCAGUCCUUAGAAAUCGUGGAGUAGGUGCAUGAUUUGAUGCAUUUAUGUCAAACUCAGGGUACUGUCUGCAUUGCAUAGUAUGCCCUUAGUUAGACAGCCUGCAUGAUUGGCAGGCAGCCUGACAUGCAUUCAUUGAAACAUAUUGGUUCAAUGAAAGAAGGAGUUUGAAUGAGAGGGGUGAGUAGCUACAGAAGGAGAAAGAAUGACUGCAGUUACAUGGAAUGACAUGAGGUACAUGGAGUCAGUUAGAUACAUGAUGGGAGUUAAAGAUGUUAGCACUGAGGAAGAUGGAUGACAUAGAAUGGGGAGUUUUCUGUCUUGGAAAUUGUAAUUGUUAUUCUUAAUAACUCUGUUUUCACUUGUAUUAAUAGAGGCAUCGAGAAGAGCAUCAUUGAUAGAGAACUCUGUAACCCAUGACCUGAAGGGAAAAAAAAAACAAUUGGGAGCCAAGUACAGAAAUAUAUAUUUGAGCAUUUUUAACAACAAUGAACUUUUUGAACUUGUAUUCUCAAUAUUUGUAGAGAGCUUCUUUUAAAUUCAGCCACGGUAUAUGCUCCGCAGUUCACCUUUGCAUUGACAGGUACUGGAAAGGAUCAAUUACAAUUAUUUUUAGAGUUAAAUAUGUCCUUAUGUAUUGUAGAUCCUCUUUUAUGCAUACAAUGCAAUUGCCCACAAUGUCGUGCCAUGAAAGCCACCAGUGUCUGCAGCCCAACCUUCAAGUCUGCUCCAUUCUGUUCCAGCUAACUGCAAUCUCUUCACUGUUUGCAAAGUGGUUUGCCCUGCAGCUUCCUCUAAACUAGGAAAGUUGAGCACAUAAGAACUCCACAUAUAAACAAAACUUAUCAUGACCACUUCAAAGUAAUGACAUGGUUAUAGUGCCAGAAGAAACUAUUUUUUUUUUCCAAUUUGAAAUUUUUAUUAUCUUCAAGAAAAGGUAUGGGGUACAGAAAAGAAGAGGGAGUGUUAACAUAGCAUGGGGAUGACACAAUCACAUUUUGUACAUCAUGGUAGCUUCAUGUGUAAGUGGGGGGGUAUGUCAGCAGGUCGAGGGGGUGUUGCCAAUUGCUCAACUUUUACAGUGUCGUUGUGUAUCUAUGACAAUAUCAACCCUGUGGUCUUUCGUGGGGUAUACUUUGUGGUAGGCGUGCUCCGCAAUGCGAGUGUUGAUCGCGUGCGCGUUAGUGGGUAUGUUGGAGUUGUCUGCGUUUCCCCGGCUUAGCCUAUAGGUUGCAGAGGCGUUCGCAAG
rnacentral:lncRNA from 1 species